rnacentral:lncRNA from 1 species
AUGACAUCAGCUCAGCUUUUCUGGCUGUUUGUGAUCAGCUUUCCUUCCCUCGGACACCUCAGCACAGGAAUUUCAGGGCCCUUCCCAGCUCCAGGAGGCUGCCCCAGGAUUGGGAUGAGUUUCAGCCAGGACAGCACCAGGAGUUCUGUGGGAUCCAAUCCUGUUUUUCCUGAUUUCCUGGGAAUGUUCACUCGGUUCCUCUCACGCAGGUGUCGGAGGGAAGAUGCUGCUGGAUGGCUCAGGGGAUCAGAGUGUGGUUUUGUUAGAACCUUGGCAGUGAUGAGGCAGCGCCGUGGAGCAUCUCUGUGGGUCGUGAAAAUGAUGGAAUUCAUUCCUGAGCUGAUCAACAACAACUGGGAAUCUCUGGAUCCGACUGCCAACAGUAAAAAAAGAGCUUUAAACAGGGGAUAGAAAAACCUGAUAGCAAAAAUACAAAGGAGUUUGUAAUGUUUGAGGGAACCCUGAGGUGUUCAAUCAGUCCAGAGUGAC